rnacentral:ncRNA from 1 species
GAUCGAUAAUAGCAAACUUAUUGAAAAGUAAGGACGCAAAGCCACGGGCCUAACAUGAAUCUCAUCAUGGUCGCCGGGUUGCCGAA